AGUGGGGAAUCUUAGACAAUGGGCGAAAGCCUGAUCUAGCCAUGCCGCGUGAGUGAUGAAGGCCCUAGGGUCGUAAAGCUCUUUCGCCAGGGAUGAUAAUGACAGUACCUGGUAAAGAAACCCCGGCUAACUCCGUGCCAGCAGCCGCGGUAAUACGGAGGGGGUUAGCGUUGUUCGGAAUUACUGGGCGUAAAGCGUACGUAGGCGGAUCAGAAAGUUAGGGGUGAAAUCCCGAGGCUCAACCUCGGAACUGCCUCUAAAACUCCUGGUCUUGAGUUCGAGAGAGGUGAGUGGAAUUCCAAGUGUAGAGGUGAAAUUCGUAGAUAUUUGGAGGAACACCAGUGGCGAAGGCGGCUCACUGGCUCGAUACUGACGCUGAGGUACGAAAGUGUGGGGAGCAAACAGGAUUAGAUACCCUGGUAGUCCACACCGUAAACGAUGAAUGCCAGUCGUCGGGCAGUAUACUGUUCGGUGACACACCUAACGGAUUAAGCAUUCCGCCUGGGGAGUACGGUCGCAAGAUUA
rnacentral:rRNA from 1 species